rfam:Angiostrongylus costaricensis strain Costa Rica genome assembly, scaffold: ACOC_contig0002249
GCCUCAUUGGCUCAGGGGCAGAGCGUAUUUCUAGUAAACACAAGGUCGCUGGUUCGAUUCCAGUAUGAGGCA